UACGUAGGUGGCAAGCGUUGUCCGGAAUUAUUGGGCGUAAAGCGCGCGCAGGUGGUCCUUUAAGUCUGAUGUGAAAGCCCACGGCUCAACCGUGGAGGGUCAUUGGAAACUGGGGGACUUGAGUGCAGGAGGAGAAGAGUGGAAUUCCACGUGUAGCGGUGAAAUGCGUAGAGAUGUGGAGGAACACCAGUGGCGAAGGCGG
rnacentral:rRNA from 1 species